CAGGGUGAUAAUUUAGAGUGUAUUUGGUGGAAUGAAAUUUUAGGCAGCAAAGCUUAAGAAGUGUCCUGUCUGUGUCGAACAGCCUGUGGUCCUAUAUGUGACCAAAGAAAUGACCUCAAGGUGAAACUUAUAUUUAAAUGAGAAGGAGAGCUUAAAAGUUUGGAAAAUUUGCAGCCUGGCCAAGUGGUCAAAAAGAAAAGCUGAUUAUCAGUGGGAAAGUUCAAAAAGGCUUCAGAAAUGCGCAUAAAAAGGAGUGCAGUGCUAAUAGCCAAUACAAUGUUAAAAAGGCCUUGAAGGCAUUUCAGAGACUUUUGCAGCAGCCCUUGCUAUCACAGGCCCUGAGGCCUGGGAUAAAAGAAAGGUUUCCUUCUCCAGCCCAAUGGCCCCGCUGCUAUGUCCAUCCUCAGGACACUGCUGACUGCAUUCCUGAAGCUCCAGCUCCAGCCAUGGCUGAAAGAUGCACAGGUACAGCUUGGGUCACUGCUUCAGAGGGUGCAAGCUGCAAGCCUUGGUGGCUUCCACAUAGUGUUAAGCCAGCAGGUGCACAGAGCACAAAACUAGAGGCUGGGGAUCCUUAGUCUGGACUCCAGAGUAUGUAUGGAAAAACCUGGGUGUCCAGGUCGAAACUUUUCCAAGAGGCAGAGCCUCCUUUACUAGGUCAGUAGAGAAGGAACAUAUAGGGUUGGAACCCCAUACAGGGAGGCACCAUUCUGCCAACUCCAGAUUCAUAGACUCACUAGCAGCUUGCACCCUGAUUGUGGAAAAGCUAUAGGUACUCAACACCAGCCCAGCCCAUGAGGGCAACUGUGGAGGUUAGACCCCGCAAAAGUCACAGGUGCAGACCUGCCCAAGGCCUUGGGAGCCCAGGCCUCAUACCCUUGUGCUCUGGAUGUGGGAUCUGGAUUCAAAAAAAAUGAUUUGGAGCUGUAGGAUUCAAUGACUGGCCUGCUGGGUUUUUGACUUGCAUGGGGUCUGUAAGUCCUUGUACAUUUCAGUAAAUGCUGGAAUGAGUUAAGUCAUUGGGGGGCAGUAGAGAAG
rnacentral:lncRNA from 10 species